AAAACGACUCUCGACAACGGAUAUCUCGGCUCUCGCAUCAAUGAARAACGUAGCAAAAUGCGAUACUUGGUGUGAAUUGCAAAAUCCCGUGAACCAUCGAGUCUUUGAACGCAAGUUGCGCCCGAAGCCAUUAGGCCGAGGGCACGUCUGCCUGGGCGUCACGC
rnacentral:rRNA from 1 species